UUAGGCAAUAGGGGGCCUUGACGGCUUCCCCCCCCCCCCCCCCCCCCCCUCCCAAAGAAAAUUUAUUAUUAGUGUGAAAGUCAAUUGUGUCCCCCUCACUAGUCACCAAAAUAUUUUCCCUCCUCAAACAAAAUUUCUUGUGUAAGUUUUCACUCAAAUUAACCCAAUUCUAAACCAAACCAGAUACAGCAACCCGCAUACGCAAAUCACAAAUCAAAGCAAUACACACAAGACAUUUCUCUUCCAUUUUCAAGCAGUAAAUGUAUAGUUGACGACGGCAAUCGCGGUGAACUCGGGCUACUUGCAAGAAGAGGAAGGGCUAGACAUCAACAAGAUGAAUUAACAAUUGGGCAUCAUUACAAAGUUGAUAUUUUUUAUGCGGUGAUUGAUUCUCAGUUGCAAGAGUUGAGCAAUAGGUUUGAUGAUAAAGCAAUAGAGUUAAUUGUUCUCAGUUCAUCGUUAGAUCCAAAAGAGAUGCGUAUAUCAUUCAGAAUUGAUGAUGUUUGCAAGUUGUUAGAGAAGUUUUACCCACAAGACUUUGAAGAUUAUGAGACUUUGCAAUUGAGAGUGCAACUUGAACAUUUUGAACAUGUGCAACAACUUCCUAAUUUUAGAACACUAGAAAGUAUUUUUGAUCUAUGCCAAUGGUUGGUAAAAACUAGAAAAUCGAACAUU